GCCUGGGUGGCUCAGCGGUUGAGCACCUGCCUUCAGCUCAGGUCGUGAUCCCAGGGUCCUGGGAUCAAGUCCCACGUCGGGCU
rnacentral:tRNA from 1 species